rnacentral:rRNA from 1 species
GACAGAGGUGCCAAGCGUUAGGCGGAAUCACUGGGCUUAAAGCGUGUGUAGGCGGAUCGUUAAGUACCUUGUGAAAUCCCACGGCUCAACCGUGGAACUGCUCGGUAUACUGGCGGUCUUGAGCCACCUAGGGGCAACUGGAACAAGCGGUGGAGCGGUGAAAUGCGUAGAUAUUAGGAGGAACACCGGUGGCGAAGGCGCCGCUCUGGGCCGAAACUGACGCUGAGGAGCGAAAGCAUGGGUAGCAAACAGG